UACAAAGGUGGCGAGCGUUACUCGGAUUCAUUGGGUGUAAAGGGCAGGUAAACGAUCAUACAAGUUGAGGGUGAAAUCCUUUGGCUCAACCAAAGAACUGCCUUCAAUACUGUAUGGCUUGAGACCAAGAGAGGAGAGCGGAAUUCCCGGUGUAAGGGUGAAAUCUGUAGAUAUCGGGAGGAACAUCAGUGACGAAAGCGGCUCUCUAGCCUGGUUCUGACGCUGAGCUGCGAAAGCUAGGGGAGCAAACAGG
rnacentral:rRNA from 1 species